rnacentral:rRNA from 1 species
GGAAGCAGCUUGCUGCUUUGCUGACGAGUGGCGGACGGGUGAGUAAUGUCUGGGAAACUGCCUGAUGGAGGGGGAUAACUACUGGAAACGGUAGCUAAUACCGCAUAACGUCGCAAGACCAAAGAGGGGGACCUUAGGGCCUCUUGCCAUCGGAUGUGCCCAGAUGGGAUUAGCUAGUAGGUGGGGUAAAGGCUCACCUAGGCGACGAUCCCUAGCUGGUCUGAGAGGAUGACCAGCCACACUGGAACUGAGACACGGUCCAGACUCCUACGGGAGGCAGCAGUGGGGAAUAUUGCACAAUGGGCGCAAGCCUGAUGCAGCCAUGCCGCGUGUAUGAAGAAGGCCUUCGGGUUGUAAAGUACUUUCAGCGGGGAGGAAGGGAGUAAAGUUAAUACCUUUGCUCAUUGACGUUACCCGCAGAAGAAGCACCGGCUAACUCCGUGCCAGCAGCCGCGGUAAUACGGAGGGUGCAAGCGUUAAUCGGAAUUACUGGGCGUAAAGCGCACGCAGGCGGUUUGUUAAGUCAGAUGUGAAAUCCCCGGGCUCAACCUGGGAACUGCAUCUGAUACUGGCAGGCUUGAGUCUCGUAGAGGGGGGUAGAAUUCCAGGUGUAGCGGUGAAAUGCGUAGAGAUCUGGAGGAAUACCGGUGGCGAAGG